rnacentral:rRNA from 1 species
UACAGAGGUCUCAAGCGUUGUUCGGAUUCAUUGGGCGUAAAGGGUGCGUAGGCGGCGCGGUAAGUCCGCUGUGAAAUCUCGAGGCUCAACUUCGAGCUGUCGGUGGAAACUGUCUGGCUAGAGUCCGGAAGAGGAGAAUGGAAUUCCUGGUGUAGCGGUGAAAUGCGCAGAUAUCAGGAAGAACACCCGUGGCGAAGGCGGUUCUCUGGGACGGUACUGACGCUGAGACGCGAAAGCGUGGGGAGCGAACAGG